UUCUAGACAUCCAGCAGGAGUGACCAU
rnacentral:piRNA from 1 species